CUGCUCGAAACGGUGGCAGGAGUAAGCUUGCUGCUUCGCUGACGAGUGGCGGACGGGUGAGUAAUGUCUGGGAAACUGCCUGAUGGAGGGGGAUAACUACUGGAAACGGUGGCUAAUACCGCAUAACGUCGCAAGACCAAAGAGGGGGACCUUCGGGCCUCUUGCCAUCAGAUGUGCCCAGAUGGGAUUAGCUUGUUGGUGAGGUAACGGCUCACCAAGGCGACGAUCCCUAGCUGGUCUGAGAGGAUGACCAGCCACACUGGAACUGAGACACGGUCCAGACUCCUACGGGAGGCAGCAGUGGGGAAUAUUGCACAAUGGGCGCAAGCCUGAUGCAGCCAUGCCGCGUGUAUGAAGAAGGCCUUCGGGUUGUAAAGUACUUUCACGGGGAGGAAGGUGUUGUGGUUAAUACCGCAGCAUUGAVGUUUACCCGCAGAAGAAGCCCGGCUAACUCGUGCCAGCAGCCGCGGUAAUACGGAGGUGCAAGCGUUAAUCGGAAUUACUGGCGUAAGCGCACGCAGGCGUCUGUCAAGUCGGAUGUGAAUCCCCGGGCUCAGCUGGA
rnacentral:rRNA from 1 species